rnacentral:lncRNA from 14 species
GGCAAACACAUGGAAACCAUUUGCAGGGCACCUGCUCCUGCACCUUCACACCUGGAGACCUUCUGCCUUCACCUCUUUGAGGGACUGACUGCAUUCACUCAUCACCUCUGGGACCUGGCCCUGCUCCUCUGACCUGUUCCUAAUGCAACACCAGAUGGGUCCCUCCUGCCUUCUGAGCAGAGGAGAGCACUGUGUGAUGUUAUGGCCACACUGGCAUGGUGUGCACCCUCCUGGUGCUGGGCACACUGAGGAUGAGCAUGGCUGGGAUGCCAGAGGAGGACCCAGCUCAGCGUUCGGAGCCAAAUCAACACUGCAGACAUCCCAGGUCUGUGGGAGGGGGUGAUCCAGUGCUUCAGUUUGGGGCCACAUUGAGUGUGAGGCCAAAACUGAACACCUGUGGGCUUGGAAGAGCUGAAGAAGCCAUCAGAGCCUAAUGCCAAAACCUCCUUUUGCGCUGUGGGUGGUGAUGUGUGAGGCUCUCAACAGAGGUGUUGCAUCCUGACUAGCUGAAGGCUGAUCCUCUUAGAUGUGGAGGUGAUGGGGGAGCCAGGUCAGUCAGUGAUCUUGACCUUCAGGUGUUUGUGCAGACACCUUUAUCAAGGCUGGGUGUGAUUGACUGCACUGGUCAUGCUGUGACACCAAACCAUUGCUUGGUUGUGAGGGGGGUUUUACCCUCCCACUGGAGGUCAGGAACUGGUAUGAGGUCCAUUAGCAGUCACCUGGGGUUCAUGCAGGGAAUCUGGGAGCAGACCUUGAGUGUCAUUCAAUCUGCUACACCAGUUUCCAACCCCUCCUGGCCCCGUUGCCUUAAGUAUGCCCAGUAUAGGGCAGGAUCUGCUGGUCCCAUCCUCUCCUUCUUCCCCUCCAGCUGCCCCAUCUCCAUCUUUUAGGCAUUGCAAUGGUUGAAAAGUGAACUUUGGGUGUAUUUUAUCAUGAAGGGUCCCGGGCUUUUUAAGCCCAGCUUUAGAAGCAGUGCUGAAAGGUCCUGCAUGGGGCAGAGGUCUGCUUUUGAAAUUGAACAAAUUGUGGGUUUAUGGCUCCCGUGGGGGGGGUGUGCUGUAAAUCUCCCAGCAUUUAUCACAUCUGUUCUUUCCCAACCAGGCUACCAGCAUCCCAAGGAGGAGAGGGAGCAGGAGCUGACACUUCCUGACACUGGCUGCUCUCCCGGCCCCCGGGAGCUCCUCAGGAAUGGGUUUAAAGGAAUAUUUAUGGAUGAUCCUGGUGGAUCGGGCCCUAAAAGGUACAGAGAAAGGGCUGUUGUUCAUUACCAUUUGGAAACUGUGCACUGAGGAGUUCCCUGCGGAGGGGCAAAAGAAAUGGAGUGAAAGUGAAGCAGCUUUCAAGUUAAUCCAGAUCUUUUGGAGCGUUGUUGUUGUUGGUAAAACUCAGAACCUUAUUUUUGAUGGAGAAAAAAAGAGUUGCAUUUUUGGGGAUGGUUUUGCUCAAAAUGGUUUUCUUUCCAUGAUUCCAUACUGAGAUUCCUUAGCAAAGAUAUUUGUUCUUACUGAUAUAUGGAUAUGUGGUUGAGUUUUGGUCUUUGUUCAUAGUCAUCUCCAUACUAAAACAAUCUAUCUGCUUCAGCUGAUACAUUAGGAAUAUAUUAAUAUAGGAAUAUAAUAAUAUAUUAAUAUAGGAAUAUAAUAAUAUAUUAAUAUAGGAAUAUAAUACUGUAGGAAUAACUUCAUUUUGGUGGGUUUUCCUGAAGGUAACUGCCUUAUUGCCACAAACCAAUGAGUUUCCAAUUGAUGAAACUCUUCUGAAAGCCUUGGACUCACAGUGAUAUUCUCUAACUUAAACUUCCCCAUCUCUGUAAAUAACACAUCUUUCACCAAGACCUGUAAACCCCUCAGCAGUUAACUCAGUAUUAAUUACGGGAGCUUUAUGAACAGGAAAGCUGAGCACAGGCAGAGGGAUGGUUUGGUUGAGCACAAAUGGAAUCGCAUCCUGGGGUUUCGCCUUUCAGAGCCUUUUCCUAAGGGCAACACCAGUGCCCUUUGAGUCAGUUGAAAGCCUUCUAUAGGCUUCAUUGAUAAGACAAACUCCCUAGAGGCGAGCUAGGGUUUGUCCUUCAACACAUUGAUGUAAAGUACCUUUGGAACAGAUUUAUUCAAAUGAAUGCAUGGAGAAGGUAAGGCCAUAUAUGUUGCCUGUUUCUUUCAGUGUAAUGUCUUGAGGCUUAUCUUGAGUGUGCCUGAGAUUAGAAUUAGCCAGGGAGAGAGAAAAUCAGGGUGUAUUGGCAAAACAAUGCACAGAUCCCUUCAUAACCCUCAGGGUUUGAGCUUCCUGGGAACUUUGCUGUGAUCAUAGAAUCACAGAAUGGAUAGGGUUGGAAGGGACCUUGAGAUCUGCUCCUAAAAGGGACCACCAGAAUCCUGUGGUUCCCAGCAUCUGCCCAUGCGGAGAUGGCAUCUUCCCAGGAUCACCAGCCAUGGUGAUGGGUAGGUGAGCCCAUGAACAAAGUCCUCCAGCGAGGAACUGCUCUUGACUCAGCUCCUCUGCUCCACUCUGUGUGUACUUGGCACAAGGCAGGAGGUGAAGAGCUCAGCCCAGAUAGCUCAAACCUGUCUUCCAAGUGCCUGCGAUACUGGGGCCCCAGAGAGACAUGAGGCACGAAGAUGAUGAUGUUUUGCCUGAUGUGCUGAGCUGCUUUACCCCAUCCUCUUGGGAAUGGGACAAGGAGAGGGGCACAAAGCCACAAUGACUUCACCAGCAGCACAAGGAUAGGAUGGUGGCCAGAUCCUUGUGAAACACCCUGCUGAGUGUGCUGGCCCACGGGCACACUUCCCAACCCUUCCAUCACUCGAGUCACUUAUAACCCAGUACUGGGUUGUUACCAUAGACAUCGAGAAAGGAGCUUUUUCAUUGCUGUUCAGUGACUUCAUGAAUGCAAGACCCUGCCAAUUAUCUAUCAUUCAUGGCAUUUAAAACAUCAACACCUCCCUCCCAGAUGAAAAUGGAGUUAAAGGUCCUGUCCUUCCUAUGCCGCUUGCUCUCACCCUGUCCAUAGAGACUGGCCUUUUAGGAAAUGGCCAAAGCAAUUCUGCCUCCUUGCAUGAGCUAAUGUGGGACUGUGGCCUUGUGAUCCUGCUCACAGCACGUGCAGUGGGACCUGGGGCAGAGACAGGGAGCCUGGUUUAGCUGUUCCUCAGGAGUAGUCAUGUUUGUGGUGGUCUGUUCAUGGUCUGUCCGGUCCAAUUCAACCCCAGAAUAGAUGCUCGAACUCUUUGCUCAUGACUUCCAUGUGUUUCCAACAUCUCUGUUAAAACAGAACCCUCCAUCUCUCCCCCUCGUUUCCUUUUCCCUCAGACUCUGCUUGGAACUUGCAUAAAUCCUGCCCAAAAAUAACACUGGCCUUUCUCCCAGCUGUGGGCGUCGUGACUCCUGCACAGGGAAGGGGAGGCUGCGAUCUCAUUGGUUUCAUGACAGACUUCGGUCCACUCUGGCCCCAUUCCAUCCUUGCUGGUACCCAGUUUACAAGGUUCCUCUUUCCAGCUAUUCACUCUUCUCCUGGGCUCACCUCUGCCUCUCCAUGGCCCCAUCCCUGGCACUGCAGCCUGCGAAACGUGGCACAGACGAGCUAAUAAAAGUGGCCAAUAAACUCA